rnacentral:rRNA from 1 species
UACGUAGGGACCAAGCGUUGUUCGGAUUUACUGGGCGUAAAGGGCGCGUAGGCGGCAAUUCAAGUCAUCUGUGAAAUCUCCGGGCUUAACCCGGAACGGUCAGGUGAUACUGUUUUGCUAGAGUGCGGAAGGGGCAAUCGGAAUUCUCGGUGUAGCGGUGAAAUGCGUAGAUAUCGAGAGGAACACCAGAGGUGAAGACGGGUUGCUGGGCCGACACUGACGCUGAUGCGCGAAAGCCAGGGGAGCGAACGGG